UACGUAGGGGGCGAGCGUUAUCCGGAAUUAUUGGGCGUAAAGAGUGCGUAGGUGGUUGUUUAAGCGUGGGGUGAAAGGCAAUGGCUUAACCAUUGUGAGCCUCGCGAACUGGGCGACUUGAGUGCAGGAGAGGAGAGUGGAAUUCCACGUGUAGCGGUGAAAUGCGUAGAGAUGUGGAGGAACACCAGUGGCGAAGGCGACUCUCUGGUCUGUAACUGACGCUGAGGUGCGAAAGCGUGGGUAGCGAACAGGAUUAGAUACCCCGGUA
rnacentral:rRNA from 1 species